rfam:Rattus norvegicus chromosome 4, whole genome shotgun sequence.
GGGGAUUUAGCUCAGUGGUAGAGCGUUUGCCUAGCAAGUGCAAGGCCCUGGGUUCAGUCCCCA